GCAGUCGUGGCCGAGUCGAUGGACUAGAAAUCCAUUGGGGUCUCCCCACACAGGUUCGAAUCCUGUCGACUGCG
rnacentral:tRNA from 2 species